rnacentral:rRNA from 1 species
GACGUAGGGUGCAAGCGUUGUCCGGAUUUAUUGGGCGUAAAGAGCUCGUAGGCGGCUUGUUGCGUCGACUGUGAAAACCCGCGGCUUAACCGCGGGCUUGCAGUUGAUACGGGCAGGCUAGAGUUCGGUAGGGGAGAGUGGAAUUCCUGGUGUAGCGGUGAAAUGCGCAGAUAUCAGGAGGAACACCGGUGGCGAAGGCGGGUCUCUGGGCCGAUACUGACGCUGAGGAGCGAAAGCGUGGGGAGCGAACAGG